rnacentral:rRNA from 1 species
UGGGGAAUAUUGCACAAUGGGGGGAAACCCUGAUGCGGCAACGCCGCGUGAGUGAAGAAGUAUUUCGGUAUGUAAACUCCUGUCGUUAGGGACGAUAAUGACGGUACCUAACAAGAAAGCACCGGCUAACUACGUGCCAGCAGCCGCGGUAAAACGUAGGGUGCAAGCGUUGUCCGGAAUUACUGGGUGUAAAGGGAGCGCAGGCGGACCGGCAAGUUGGAAGUGAAAACCAUGGGCUCAACCCAUGAAUUGCUUUCAAAACUGCUGGCCUUGAGUAGUGCAGAGGUAGGCGGAAUUCCCGGUGUAGCGGUGGAAUGCGUAGAUAUCGGGAGGAACACCAGUGGCGAAGGCGGCCUACUGGGCACCAACUGACGCUGAG